ensembl:lncRNA
CUCUCAAUGAAUGCAAUAACCUUGCAGAAAGGUGGUGACAGGGCCAAGCUGCAGAACAGACCAAUCCGUAUGUCUCUGAAAUUGCUAGCUUCCUGUCUUGAAGGAUUUUUAUCAUGGUUCAGUUUAUCAUGGACAUGUACAAAAUCUUUUGUAAAAUUCUGGGCAUUGAAGAGCAACUGACAAGACAAAAGUGUCCCCAAAAAUAACAAACGUACAUAUACUCACUCUGAAAAGGCUUGCAUUUUCCAGUUAACAUUUUGACCACAGCAAAAAUCCCAGUAAAUGCAUGUAGCAAUUAAGCACAUGACUACAAGAGUACUAAAGGUACUCUGAACCCCAACAUGUUCAGAACAAUUGUAAAAGUGCUUCUGUUUUUCCCAGGCUAGACACCAUUGGGCACCCUGACCAACCUAAUCUCCAGUGACCAGGUGACCCUCCUGGUCAGUGAGAGAAAGUCUGUUGACGUAGUCUGCCUUGACUUCAGCAAAGCCUUUGACUCUGCCUCCCACAGUAUUCUCCCAGAGAAGUUGGCAGCCCAUGGCUUGGACAGGUACACUCUUUGCUGGGUAAAGAACUGAUUGGAGAGCCAGGCCCAGAGUAUGGUGGUGAAUGGAGUUACAACCAGCUGUGAACAGUCACGAGCACUGGUGCCCAGGUAAGUGGUAGUGUUGCUGUCCUGGAGGUGUUAAGAAAAAUGGAGAUGUUGCACUUAUGGAUGUGGUUUAGCAUGCAUGAUGGGUUCAUGGUUUGAUUUGAUGAUCUUAUUGUUUUCUUCAAACUUAAUGAGUCUUUGAUUCUGUGGUUUAAGGGCUGGAAUAAAUGCUUGUACAAACUACUCAAUGGGCUAUUUUGUGACCCUUUCUAGUACAUGGAUAUACUGUCCAUUCAAUACUUUGGUUGUUCAUUUCAGCAUAGUUCUGAAAUAUCUAAGCAGGACUGGAUUUCAGGGAGAGGUAAUUUUUAUUACUAUUUCAUUAUUAUAGAGCAGCAGAUAUAGCUGGAAACACCAAUGUCAUGGUUUUGUAACUUCGCUAUUGGUAUUCCACAUCAUAACAUCAUGGACAAAAGAGAAGAACUACGUAUCCCAGAGGACCUCACGGUCAGAGAAGGAAGACACAUCACGGAAGAUACGUCAUCUGGUUGCGCGCAGUUUUUUCUUCACUUUCGCUUGCUGCCGGGAGAGGAGUGGGUGUGCUUUCCAAGCCGGGCGCCUUCAUCAAGGAAUACAGCAUUCAGAGGCACAUCUUUUGUUGCAUCCAGCUAGCGUGCAGCUCUGUGCCCCUGACAGCCACUGCAGUAGCUGGCAGACAGCCCAGUGCUAUGAUUGCAGCAAAACACGAGGUAGCACCAUCCUGAGAGCAGUGCCUUAAGGCUGACUGGGCUGACCUUUAAAAAUGGAAAGCAGAACACAGCAAAAACAUGCUUUUGAGCUGCAAGCACACAGUGUAUUUCCACUGCUCCACCACCAGAAUUGGAAGGACUUUACUGAAAUAACACCUACUAGUUCGGAGAUGCCGUCCUCUCUGACACUUACUGUCUUAAAUGUCCCUGAUUUCAUAAACCAGUUGAUUGUUAAGUAUUGGUUUCAGUGAACAGAAAUCUGAAUCACCAUGCCAUAGGCCCAUCAUGUCAAAAUCAUCCUCACUGUCUUUAAAGUAGUUAUAGCAUUUCACACACAAGAUUUGUAGAGCGAGAGAAUGUGCUCAUUAGACCAAAGUGAUAAAUGGUGGGAAAAGCAGGCUCAAGCAACACAGGCUGUCUUCAAAUCUUUCCAGACACCAGAGAACUAAAAAUGAAAGUAUUUCUGGGUAGUUUAUGUUUCUCUGGCAAGCUAGACCACUUUCUUUGCUAUUACCUAAUUUUACUUCUUAAUGGAGAUGUUGUACUUGUCUGGAGAAAAUGCAAGCCAAAACUGCAGCUGCCAGUAAAAGUGGAUAGGAGAAGCUGAUAUCUCACUCCAAAGCCUUUUCUUCCCACUUCAGUAACUGCUACUACAGCACAAGCUAUCAGGAUUGGGAAGUUCAAGUGAUAGACUAUGGAAAUUGAUGGGGAAGAUGUAGACGAUGAUGAAGAAGAUGAUAGGGCAUAUGUAAGACAGGAUAGCAAUAGCCCAUUGUAAAUUUACGUACGGUCUCUUGAACAAUAAAGAAGAUGAGCUUGAAUAGAAGUUAUUAUUUUAGGUAACUUUAGUUGUUCAUGAUUUUCUGCUCGGCUGCUCUUACUAUUAAAUUACAGCAAUUUAGGUAUGUACAUUUGCUUAUAUAUGCACAUUGUAACUAACACAAACACUGCUUCAAACUUAUCCACAGGACUUCUGUAAGAUAAAGAAAGAAAGGAAGAAAAAAACGUGAAAAAUAUAUUCAAAAGGCGUUAUUGAAAAAGGGUAUUUGUGAAUACACUCCUACACUCGCUUGGAUUAAUGUUACACUUUAUUAUUGUCAGUGGCUUGUAUAACCCACUCCUUAUAAGAUUUCAAAGGCAUAAUCGAAACUAAACCUGUGCCUGAAAUCACUGCAAGCUGGUAAAAUGAGAUUUUUGUUUAUGUGCUCUCAGACAAACGUCAUUAUUCUAUGAAAACUUCUAUAUACGACGUUACUCCAAAGUUAAAAAAUAUAUAUAAAUACAUAAAUUUAAACCUUGUUUCUUAGAAGAAUUUUGUCUAACUUUGUACAA